AAGGGAAGCGAAGUGGUGACACGAAGCAAAUCCGAGAAAUAACGUCUCAGUUCGGAUUGUAGUCUGCAACUCGACUACAUGAAGCUGGAAUCGCUAGUAAUCGCGAAUCAGAAUGUCGCGGUGAAUGCGUUCCCGGGUCUUGUACACACCGCCCGUCACACCACGGAAGUUGGGGCGCCCGAAGCCACUUAGCUAACCCUUUGGGAAGCGAGUGUCGAAGGUGAAAUCAAUAACUGGGGUGAAGUCGUAACAAGGUAUC
rnacentral:rRNA from 1 species